AUGCUUUGGCUUUCUUCACAUUUAAACCCUGUGGUUGUUUUACCUACUUUUGGAUUGGGCUGUCUUUUUAAAUUCUUACACAUUCUGGAGAGUAACUCGGAGCAACUCUGUGCUUCUCGCUCUCUACCACGUACUCUGAAAGCCUCGGUCCGUCGCAGCCCAGGUCAGGAGGCCGCCUUCGCGCCUGCGCCCGGCCCCGCGUGCUCGCGUACUGCGCAGGCGCAUCGUCCUCUUCGCCGGCUCUGUCGCCUCCUGAGGCAGCUUCCGGUCUUCGCUCUGCCUGUGGCCGGUUAUCACAAGGAGGGAAGGGAUAAAGGAAAAAACACCUCCCUCGGGCCGAGACACGACGCUCGCUUCCCGAGAGGCCCCGCCCAGCGGGCGCUGCGCCCGCCUUCUUCCCGGGGACGCGACACGCAUGCGCGGCCGGCGCUGGCUCCCGCCGCGCGCUGUGCAGUGCGCCUGUGUGGAGAGACGCCCCGCCCCCGGCCCGUAUAAAGCCUCGAGCUUCUCCUCGCGAGAUACUCCGCGCUCAUGCUCGCCGCAGGGGUCGGAGGUCAGGGCGAGCGUCUGGCGGGCAGACGGAAGAAGAUGGCGGUGGAGUCGCGCGUUACUCAGGAGGAGAUUAAGAAGGAGCCCGAGAAGCCGAUCGACCGCGAG
rnacentral:lncRNA from 1 species